rnacentral:rRNA from 1 species
UACGUAGGGAGCGAGCGUUGUCCGGAUUUAUUGGGCGUAAAGCGCGCGUAGGCGGUUUGGUAAGCCGGGUGUGAAACCCUCGAGCUCAACUCGGGGCGGCCACUCGGAACUGCUAUGACUUGAGUCUGGUAGGGGAACACGGAAUACCUGGUGUAGCGGUGAAAUGCUUAGAUAUCAGGUGGAACACCAGUGGCGAAGGCGGUGUUCUGGGCCAGUACUGACGCUGAGGCGCGAAGGCCAGGGGAGCAAACGGG